rnacentral:lncRNA from 1 species
GAACAAAUGUUCAAUACUAAUGUACAAUGGUAAACAAGAGAAUUGGUUGUGGAGUAUAUGAAAACACUCUUCACAAUUAUCGUGCAAAUCUAAAACCUCUAAAGUAAACUGUUUUAAAAAAAAACCACACCAAAUACUAGGUAAUGAGAUCCGGAAGAUGACAGAAUUAAACACUGAAUGGGGGUGGCCAUGAGAAAUGGUUUGCAAGGAACACUGGCUCCCUAACUUCUACACCACAAGAACUGAACUGGACAAGAUGAGGAAAUGUUUUCCGGAAAGUCAAAUUGGGAAGGCUCUUUAAUGGUUGUUGCGAAAGCACUUCUUUUCUCAAACCAGAGCACUUGGACUCCUUUGCACCCUCCCCGCCCCCAUGGAUGUUCCCAAGCGGCGCUUUGUGAUGUCAGCAGUGUCAGGGCUACCAUUGGCUGGAGAAAUUUCUUGCUGACCAAUCAAACGGACAGUUGUGGCUCACCAUUGUCCUGCGACGGUAUAUAUAGAGACGCCAGGCGCCUUGGUGGAGGCCACCGUUGCUACAACAUGGCAGACCUAAUUAAGGAAGUGAAGGAGGAGGAAACAGAAAUCGAGAUAGACGCUUUCAAUCUGCAGCAACAAGCUUCAAGUGCUAACGAAGGAAGAGAAAGAACACUGAUCAGUCCGAUGGCUUGGACAGUCAGAAGAUACGAAAGCCCACGAGGAAGGUAAAAUCAACCCUUCAGCGGAACCCGGGCCGGAAAAAGAAAGGGAAGAGGUCGGCGAAUCCAGUCUUCUACCACCACCCGCAGAGAAAAAAAGAAGAAUGAAAGUGGGCCAAUGGCGAUGAUGAAGAACCCCAGAGGAUUCUUCCAACACUUCUGACGAUUCUGCAAGUAAGCCCCUGUGCCCACCUGGAGCCCAAGAUGCUGAGCCAUCUGCUGUAACUCCAGGAAAAGCAAAGGCAGAGAAUAGUCGUGUGUGCAGACAUCAAACAUACAACGAUGGUCCCCUCUGGACAGAUCAAAGUAUUCAGAUGUUGACUUUAAAGUAUCAACAAGCAGUAAAAGAUGUGUGUGCGUGUUUUUUGAUGAUGGAGAGGGGAGAAAAGGGAAGGGUCCGGUGUGUGAGGAGGGAGGGAGGAGGCGUCCUUUCAGUCUAGGGGCCCAGACCCGCCAGUCCAUACUUACCCAGACACUGGGACUGAGGACUGGGUGAAGACUGAGAACUGCAGACUGAAGAUUGCUUCCUGAACUCUCAUCCACUGGUGAGAGGGAAAAGGACUUGGUUGUUUCUGUGUGUUUCAGAGGUCCCAUCUAGGGAGAGGGGUGAUGUAGGGGUGGUGGCUCUGUGCACUAAUCAGAUCCCACUUUUCAGGUGUGACAAUUGAGUUUUGCCCCUCAUCAAUUUCUGUUCCUCUUCUGGCCCACAUUGGGCAAGCUACUACAAACAACCAGGGAGUAAAGGAACGUGACAUAGAAACAGAUAGCCUAACCUUAACCACUGGAAUUACUGCCUUGCCUACAUUUCCCAGUGCCAAAACUCC